rnacentral:rRNA from 1 species
GACGAACGCUGGCGGCGUGCUUAACACAUGCAAGUCGAACGGAAAGGCCUGCUUUCCCUUGUGGAUUGCGGGUACUCGAGUGGCGAACGGGUGAGUAACACGUGAGUGAUCUGCCCCCAACUUGGGUAUAAGCCUGGGAAACUGGGUCUAAUUCCCGAUAGGACUGCAGGGUGGUGCCUGUGGUGGAAAACGAUUUUCUAGUGGUUGGGGAUGAGCUCGCGGCCUAUCAGCUUGUUGGUGGGGUAAUGGCCUACCAAGGCGGCGACGGGUAGCCGGCCUGGGAGGGUGGACGGCCACAUUGGGACUGAGAUACGGCCCAGACUCCUACGGGGGGCAGCAGUGGGGAAUAGUGCACAAUGGGCGGAAGCCUGAUGCAGCGACGCCGCGUGGGGGAUGACGGCCUUCGGGUUGUAAACUCCUUUCGACCGCGAGGAAGCCACCUGGUUGGAAGGGUGGUGACGGUAGUGGUAGAAGAAGCACCGGCUAACUACGUG